AAAAAUCGUACAAUUAUAAAUCCAGAGUAGUAUUAGUUAAGAUCUUGAAACUCAAAAAAUUUGGCGGUAUUUUAGUCUAUUUAGAGGAACCUGUAGUAUAAUCGAUAAUCCACGAUGGACCUCACUUAAUUUUGUUUUUCAGUUUGUAUACCGCUGUUAUUUGAAGAUUUUAUAAGAAUAUUAAUUUUCAUAAUUUUAAAUUAAAAAAUAUAUCAGGUCAAGGUGCAGCUUAUGAUUAAGAAUUUAUGGGUUACAAUAAAAUUAUUUAUACGAAUAAAUAUAUGAAAUUGUAUUUUGAAGGUGGAUUUAAUAGUAAAUUUUUAAAGAUAAAANAAUUGAUU
rnacentral:rRNA from 1 species